rnacentral:rRNA from 1 species
GAGGGGUGAAAGCGUGGGUAGCAAACAGGAUUAGAUACCCUGGUAGUCCACGCCGUAAACGAUGAUAACUAGCCGUUGGGGGGAUUUACCCUUUAGUGGCGAAGCUAACGCGUUAAGUUAUCCGCCUGGGGAGUACGGCCGCAAGGUUAAAACUCAAAGGAAUUGACGGGGACCCGCACAAGCGGUGGAGCAUGUGGUUUAAUUCGAUGCAACGCGAAGAACCUUACCUGGUCUUGACAUCCUGCGAACUUUCUAGAAAUAGAUUGGUGCCUUCGGGAACGCAGUGACAGGUGCUGCAUGGCUGUCGUCAGCUCGUGUCGUGAGAUGUUGGGUUAAGUCCCGUAACGAGCGCAACCCCUAUCCUUAUUUGCCAGCACAUCAUGGUGGGAACUAUAAGGAGACUGCCGGUGAUAAACCGGAGGAAGGCGGGGACGACGUCAAGUCAUCAUGGCCCUUACGACCAGGGCUACACACGUGCUACAAUGGGAAGGACAAAGAGCCGCGAAGCCGCGAGGUGUAGCUAAUCUCAUAAACCUUUUCGUAGUCCGGAUUGGAGUCUGCAACUCGACUCCAUGAAGUCGGAAUCGCUAGUAAUCGUAGAUCAGAAUGCUACGGUGAAUACGUUCCCGGGUCUUGCACACACCGCCCGU